rnacentral:lncRNA from 1 species
UCUUCCCGUUUUCCUUAUUAUUCUCCGGCUUAUGCAAACUUUUGCAAUUUUCUGUUUUUGGUUCAGACACCACCUUAACAAUUUUUUGUUUUUUGUUCGGACACCACAUUUACAAUUCUUUGUCCUUGGUUUAGACACCACUUUUACAAUUUUUUGUCCCUAUUUCAGACACCACCUUUACAAUUCUUUGUCCUGGGUUCUGGCCAAACAUCGAUUUAUUUUCAUAAAAGAAUUAUUGUAAUCCAUUCCUUAGUAGUUAGACUAACAAUGUAUAGCAUCCGAACCAGGAUCAAACAAAUAAUUUAAAAUACUUCUAGGAUAAGAUUAUAACAUUGUUCCCUAAAAUCAACCAAUA